GACUGGUCUGAAAGUAAUGGAGUAUCUUAAUUGAUUGUUCAGUCGGUUACAGAUUCAUCUCAUUCUCUCUUUCCCCCCUUCUCACUACUGCACUUAACUAGUCUUUA
rnacentral:Y_RNA from 1 species